AAGUCGUAACAAGGUUUCCGUAGGUGAACCUGCGGAAGGAUCAUUAAUGAAUGUUGGAAUUUGACACCUCUUCCACCGACGAAACCUGAUGGCGAGAAACGGGCAUGAAUUUGCCACGUCUUGCACAUUGGAGUGAGUCGAGGGGAGAGGUUCAAAUAACAAAAUCCAAUACCCACACCUCUUUGUGAAACAUACCCAUGUCAUUUGGCGAGAUUAGUUUGUUUUUCCCGACAGGAGCAAUCUUGAAUGGAAGUGCAAACCCUCGCCAACCAUAUCCAACACACACCCAACCCAUAUUGUAAAUUGACUGAAACACUGUUGAUGCGUUCAUGUCACCCUCACCGGUGGGAUGGGUGCAAAGACAAAACCAAAAAACCAAAAGAAAUUACAACUUUUAACAACGGAUCUCUUGGCUCUU
rnacentral:misc_RNA from 1 species